rnacentral:rRNA from 1 species
UUGACCUCGGAUCAGGUACCUAUACCCGCUGAACUUAAGCAUAUCAAUAAGCGGAGGUACCUUCGGUACCCGAAUUGUAAUUUGGAGGCAUGCGACCCAAGCGGCAAUCCGCCCUAACGUGAUCCCUGG